CAACCUAUCCAGUGAUGGAUAGCUGAACAAUCAGAAGUCAGCAGAGGUCAUAGUACCAUCCUUGCUCGAGAAAGGGUGGGAAGGAC
rfam:Anoxybacillus amylolyticus strain DSM 15939, complete genome.